AAUCUCUUAACGAGGAACAAUUGGAGGGCAAGUCUGGUGCCAGCAGCCGCGGUAAUUCCAGCUCCAAUAGCGUAUAUUAAAGUUGUUGCAGUUAAAAAGCUCGUAGUUGAAUUUCGGGAUCAAUUUAUCGGUCGUGCCAAUGGUAUGAACUGGUACAAUUGGUUUCUCCCUUCUGACGAAGCAUGAUGUCAUUAAUUUGGUGUCGUGGGGAAUCAGGACUGUUACUUUGAAAAAAUUAGAGUGUUUAAAGCAAGCAUUAGCUUGAAUACAUUAGCAUGGAAUAAUGAAAUAGGACGUUUGAUCCUAUUUCGUUGGUUUCUAGGAUCGACGUAAUGAUUAAUAGGGAUAGUUGGGGGCACUAGUAUUCAAUUGUCAGAGGUGAAAUUCUUGGAUUUAUUGAAGACUAACUACUGCGAAAGCAUUUGCCAAGGAUGUUUUCAUUAAUCAAGAACGAAAGUUAGGGGAUCGAAGACGAUCAGAUACCGUCGUAGUCUUAACCAUAAACUAUGCCGACUAGGGAUCGGAUGAUGUUAAUUUUUUAAUGACUCAUUCGGCGCCUUACGGGAAACCAAAGUGUUUGGGUUCCGGGGGGAGUAUGGUCGCAAGGCUGAAACUUAAAGGAAUUGACGGAAGGGCACCACCAGGGGUGGAGCCUGCGGCUUAAUUUGACUCAACACGGGGAAACUCACCAGGUCCAGACAUAGUAAGGAUUGACAGAUUGAGAGCUCUUUCUUGAUUCUAUGGGUGGUGGUGCAUGGCCGUUCUUAGUUGGUGGAGUGAUUUGUCUGGUUAAUUCCGAUAACGAACGAGACCUUAACCUGCUAAAUAGCUAGGCUUAGCAUUGCUAGGUCGUCAGCUUCUUAGAGGGACUAUCGGUGUUUAACCGAUGGAAGUUUGAGGCAAUAACAGGUCUGUGAUUCCCUUAGAUGUUCUGGGCCGCACGCGCGCUACACUGAUGAAGUCAACGAGUUCACUCCCUUUGUCGGAAGACAUGGGUAAUCUUUUGAAACUUCAUCGUGCUGGGGAUAGAGCAUUGCAAUUAUUGCUCUUAAACGAGGAAUCCCUAGUAAGUACAAGUCAUCAGCUUGUGCUGAUUACGUCCCUGCCCUUUGUACACACCGCCCGUCGCUACUACCGAUUGAAUGGCUUAGUGAGGACUUCGGAUUGAGCUUCGGAAGCUGUAAAAGGCAUCCGAUUUUUAAAAAGUUGUUCAAACUUGGUCAUUUAGAGGAAGUAAAAGUC
rnacentral:rRNA from 1 species